rnacentral:rRNA from 1 species
AUUGAACGCUGGCGGCAGGCCUAACACAUGCAAGUCGAACGAGUGGCGGACGGGUGAGUAAUGCCUGGGAAACUGCCCGAUGGAGGGGGAUAACUACUGGAAACGGUAGCCAAUAAUGCAUACCAUCGUAUUUGCCCAGAUGGGAUUAGCUAGUGGGGGGGGUAACGGCUCACCUAGGCGACGAUCCCUAGCUGGUCUGAGAGGUGGACCAGCCACACUGGAACUGAGACACGGUCCAGACCCCUACGGGAGGAAGCAGUGGGGAAUAUUGCACAAUGGGCGAAAGCCUGAUGAAGCAAUGCCGCGUGUAUGAAGAAGGCCUUCGGGUGUAAAAGUACUUUCGGCGAGGAGGCGUUACUCGCAGAAGAAGCACCGGCUAACUCCGUGCCAGCAGCCGCGGUAAUAC